GAAGGUGAGCGAGUUGUAGACUUUGGAAGCUUCAAUUGAAGCUGCGUUCGAAGCUAUCAAAUCUCGUGAAACUGAGUCAUUGAGCUGAGGCAAUCCUACUUGGUUUCCAACAUUAUCUAGUGAUGCUUGGCACAACUGUUCUGAUUCCUAGCUCUCUAGUUCCACAGAUGGGAGGAGAAAAUGAAUACAUGAAAUCAAGACAAGGGAAGGAUUGGCCCUGGUAGAUAUUGUGAGAGAAGUGACAAUGUUUGUCUUUAAGAUUAAGAUGCUUCCAAAUAUCCGAGUACAGUUGAUUAACGGUUUGGCAGAUAUAGAGUAUGUAUCGUUAUACUAU